rnacentral:rRNA from 2 species
GAUUAAGCCAUGCAUGUGUAAGUAUAAAUAUUUAACUUUGAAACUGCGAAUGGCUCAUUAUAUCAGUUAUAGUUUAUUUGAUUAUAUCUACUACUUGGAUAACCGUAGUAAUUCUAGAGCUAAUACAUGGAAAAGCUCAUGAGCAAUCGUGAGUGUAUUUAUUAGAAUGAAAACCAGUAAUCCUUUGGAUUAUUUGUGAGUAAUAAUAACUUGUCAUAUCGCAUGCUUCGGUAGCGAUGUGUCUUUCAAGUUUCUGCCCUAUCAGCUUUCGAUGGUAGUGUAUUGGACUACCAUG